rnacentral:rRNA from 1 species
UAACACGUAGGGGGCGAGCGUUGUCCGGAUUUAUUGGGCGUAAAGAGCUCGUAGGCGGUUCGGUAAGUCGGGUGUGAAAACUCUGGGCUCAACUCAGAGACGCCACCCGAUACUGCUGUGACUUGAGUCCGGUAGGGGAGUAUGGAAUUCCCGGUGUAGCGGUGAAAUGCGCAGAUAUCGGGAGGAACACCAGUGGCGAAGGCGGUACUCUGGGCCGGAACUGACGCUGAGGAGCGAAAGCGUGGGUAGCGAACAGG